rnacentral:rRNA from 1 species
UUAAAUUGAAGAGUUUGAUCAUGGCUCAGAUUGAACGCUGGCGGCAGGCCUAACACAUGCAAGUCGAACGGUAACAGGAAGCAGCUUGCUGCUUUGCUGACGAGUGGCGGACGGGUGAGUAAUGUCUGGGAAACUGCCUGAUGGAAGGGGAU